GUGGUUAUUGUGGUGUUUGCGGGGGUGGGGUGGGGGGGUGGGGGGGGAGUAUGAGUUGUUUGCUUGCUGGUUAUCCCGGGCUCUGGUUGGGGCUCUGGUUGCCAAAAGGCCUCUCUCAGCUGUUGUGAGUUUGCAGGCAGGAUCUGGGAGAUCUGAUUCAGCUCUCUGCUCCCCAGGAUGGAGACAAGGAUUGGAAGAAACAGCCCUUUAACGGCGGCAUUCCUGGUCAGAACUAGUUAUUAGUACUCGCGUCCGGACUUCUGAAGUUAAAAUGGAUAGUCUGAAAGCCGGAGCAACUGCGAGUGAAUUCUAGGACCUGGGAAGUGAAGACGGGAAGAAGCCAGAGGCCAUCUUUGCCUCAUACAAUUCGUUGACAUCCUGAUGACAGUUCCAAAAUGGAUGAGGAGUCGUUUCCUUACUGAGGAGAUAUCUUUGGGAUGGGUAAGUGAGGGGCCUGCAGUCACCCCAGAGGUAGAGGGGUUUGGGGGGCGGGUUGAGAGCCAAGAGUCAACUUAAGUCCAGGUUGAAGGUUUGCCCACACUCCACACUUUCAGCAAAACUGAGUGCUUUUUGUUGCCGAGGGUUUUCACCUUUCCGUAGGUACUAAAAUGUACCUUUGCAAGGAGAAAUAGUUAGGAUUUGCUUCCAAGUAACCCAUGAUUGAAGGGUGGGGUCAAAACAGGAGAAUUAGACACAAAAUAGCAACUUUGGAACUGGAAAUUGGGGAAGGUAAGAGAUGAGUUCCCGUGGUAUUGCGCUUCUCUGUGUGUAAUCUUCCAUAAUGAAACAAAACUCUGGACUGACGAUCUUUAUGAGACCUAAAUUACCUCUUCUAUGUGCUUUCUUAACAUGAUUCAACUUCUGGGGACUAAGUCAGCACCUCAGAUCUUCUUUCCUUUUUUCCCUAUUUUAUUAAUUCUCUUUAAACACACACACACACACACACACACACACACACACACACACCCCAAAACCUUGCCAGAAAUGGAGACUUAUGUCCCUUCAAAAGAAAAUUCUAAGUGACACUGUUUUCCAAGUCUACUCAGCAGGGCACCAAACAGGGUGUACUCUGAGCUCUCUGCUGGAAACAUUUGCCAGAAGCCACUGCACCUUAGGACAAAGUAUUCUUCAGCUUUAAUGCGAUUAAUUGAUUGACUAAAAUUCCAAGACUCAUUAACUUCCCAGUUAACGAGAAUGAAGAUGAUGGCUGCAGACAGAAAAUGCAUGAGUAAGUAUUCAAAGAAUAAUAAAAUAAUACUAAAUAUUGACCUAACUUCUGAGGAAGAAAGAAAUAAAACUGACAAGGCCAACCACAGCCAACACCAAAACAAAUUACAGAUGGGCUAAAAAGUAAAUCAAAAAUAAUUAGGAGGCACUAGAUAUUAAAUGUUAUUUAAUCCUGCAUGAAACUCAAAGGCAGGAACAGAAAGCACACAACGUUUACAUUUUGUGAUUCUUUAAAACUUAGAUAUUCUGCCAAAAGAGGAACGAAAAAGGUAACCAAAAGGAAAAUGGUAAAUGGACAGGGCUUAAGAAUGGGAAAACCAAUUAACUUGAAGAGUUUUUAGUACGUCAUUGGAAAGAUGGCGCCCAAACAGGCUUUUCAAAGAAAAUGUAAAUUUACUGUAAGGGAGCAGGAAACCUAAGAAGAAUAUGUUCAUCUCUAUAAGAAUGUGUUCAGGAAGAUCACUGCAAUUUUGUGUAUGAAGUAACAGUGAGAAAAAAAAUGGGAAUAAAUCUAAGAAUACAGAUUUACAAAACCUUUGCAAAGAAAUGACCGAACUCUUAAAACCCAUGAAUAAGUGGGCAUGUGAUACUAAUAGGAAGAUUAAAUAUAAAAAGAUACAGUCUCUUAGCAGUAACAAAAUGUAACAUUAAUCACAUCUACCCACAUUACACAAGUCCUGAAGGUUAGAAUAGAGAAUAGCCCAGGCAGUUGCAGUGAAAGAAUAGUUCAAAGAGCCAUGAUUCAGGGACAUAGUAUCCUUUCUGUAUCUCUUCCACAGAGGAAGAAACAGUGCCACUAGGGUCACAGAUGGGACGGGCCCAGGAAGCACAGUUUAUCCAGUGACUUCCUGUGAGUCAGGAACAGGUGUUUUCAUUGCUAACAGACACGCAGAGGGCACCAGGUUAGAUUUCAAUUUGAGGCUCCACACAGUCCACCCUGAAAUCCCUACAUAAGCUACAGCUGUACAAUAUAUGGAACUUUCUCUUAUCAUCAAAUUAUUUGGAUAAAGGGACAGAGAAAGUAUAAAAGUAUACAGUAUUAUGCUGACAGAAGGAUGUGUGAGAAAUGUGUGUGUGAUAAUAUAUAUUCAGAAAAAUAUUUAUUAUAAUAAUGUAUUAAAUAAUGUAUUAUCCCUAAUUAUUAUUCUAAUAAUAUUUUCUAAGUAUAACCUACUCAGUCUGUAUAAUGUUACUUCUAUGCAUUUCAUGGCUGACUAUUUGGUAUUGAACAACCAAAUUUUUGCCCAUCUUCCCUAAGUAAAACUAUUUCUCUUGAUUUCAGCAUUCCUUAUCUGCCUAUAGUUCUUUUUGCAGACUUGAGGUUUGUGGUCAUUCCCUCCUGCGCUUGCCAAUUAGACAAUGCUGUUUUCUUUGUUCAGGCAGUCUUGGGGGAAACCAAGGACAAUACCAUAGCCUGUAUGUUCUUGGAGGCUCUUGGACAGUACUCUAUAACAACUCAAAAGAGGGCUUCUCAUGUCUGGUGUUGGUUUUUUAUUUUGUUUGUUGUUUGUUUGUUUUUAAGGUGGUGUGUGGCUCUUGGAGGAAGCAUUGUCAGCCUAGAUAAAAAGAUUUCACUUGAACUAUAGAUGUAUAUUUAUUUAUACAUACAAACUUAUGUGUAUAAUAGCUUUUCAGGUAAAUGGCUAAUAAAUGACCCCUUAUUACUUCUUCAGAUAUCUUUAUUAUUUUACCAUACUUUGUCUGUAUUUAUCUUCCUGCUUCCUAAUUAAAACUCUUGUUCUCAUAUCCUCAGUCAUUUCCCCACAUUUCCUCUCUAUUGUUUCCCCUCAAUCCCUUCCUCAGCAAGGGUACUUAUGGUGGUUUGCAUGUGCUUGGCCCAGGGAGUGACACUAUUAGAAGGUGGGGCCUUGUUGGAGGAAGUGUGUCACUGUGGGGUGGGCUUGGAGACCCUCCUCCUAGUUCCUCCUAGGAUGCUGAAUCUGUUCAUCGCUUCCUUCGGGUGAAGAUGUAGAACUCAGCUCCUCCUGCACCAGGCCUGCCUGGAUGCUUUCAUGUUCCCGCCUUGAUGAUUAAGGACUGAACCUCUGAACCUGUAAGUCAGCUCCAAUUAAGUGUUGUCCUUUAUAAAACUUGCAUUGGUCAUAGUGUCUGUUCACAACACUAAGACCCUAACUAAGACAGCACCUUUUUACUUUCCUAGUUUUCUGCAGUUACACAGGUACUCACAUCUAAUGUUUUGGAACUAGAAGUCUCUGAUCAAAGAGGACAAAUAAUGCUUGUCUUUCCAUGUCUGGGCUACCUCAGUAGAUAUUAUUAUGGAUUCAGGUCCCAUCCAUGCAUUUACAAAGUUCAUAAUUUCAUUUGUCUUUAUGGCUGAAUAGUAUCCCAUGGUUUAUGUUUUCAUUCUUUUCAAUUGUUGGUUGGAAGACAUUUAUUUUGUCUCCAUUUCCUUUUAUAAAUGGAGCAAUAAAUGGGGCUGAGCAAGCAUUGAUGGAGAAGGACAUCAAGUCCUUUAGGUGUGUGUCAAGAAGGCAUAUAGGUGAGUCCUAUGGAGCACGUUUAUUUUUAGAUAUUUUGAGAAUUCUCCACAGCGAUUUUUCACAGCGGCUGCACCAGUUUGAAAAACCCACCCACCAGCAGUAAAUGAAGGACCCUCUUUCCUGUGUCUCCUCCAGCACUUGUUGUCUGUUGUUUUGUUAAUCUUUGCUAUUAUCACCGACAAUGAGAUUAAGUCUCAAAGUUCUUUUGAUCUGCAUUUCCCUAACUGCUUGGGAUGAUGAACAUUUUGAGGUAUUUCUUAGCUACUUUUUUUCUUCUUUUGUGAACUUUCUGAUCAUUUUCCAUGCCAAUUUUUUGAAUGGGUCAUUUUUGCUUUAUAUAUAUGUAUAUAUAUAUAUAUA
rnacentral:lncRNA from 1 species